AGCCCUGGGGGACACCAGUGGUGAGAGACUUUAAAAUGACUAAAACCAAAUUGGCACUAUGUAGAAACUAUUCUUGACUGUGUCCAGCUCACUAAUAAUCCCCGAAAUGAAAGGUAGAAAGUCAGGGAGCAUCCAGAAUUCCCAAAAUGAUAGGACUGUUUUUUGCACAUUUUGACGGGGAGGUAACAAUCAAUUUUGUGUGCGGGCCUCUGGACCUUGUUGAAGACUGAAUGCAGUUGCUGGGGCAAAAAUUGUUUGACACAACUGAUAUAGACUAUAUCAAUUAUCUAUGCAAGGUUUAGGAAGUUAUGGAGUUUACAUUUGAGUACUCCAAUAGAUUAUGUAACUAACCUUGAGACAUGCCUCCAAGUGUAUUAUAUUUAUUGUUAUGCUGCUGUUUUUGAUUUUUUUAAACAUUUGAUUCUCUAUUUUUUUUAAAUAAAAACAUUCCGGUUUCCUUGGAAAUAGGGAGAUCUGAAACAGUUCUUGAAUCUACCAAAGCAAAGAUGAGAAAAUCUAGUAUCAACCUAUCAGCACAAAGACCAAAGUAAGUAGCAUUCACUACAUGUUGGAUGGAAUUUGCUAAUUUAAUUUGAAAAACAAGCACACAACACAAUCAUUAUGCUCUGUUGGAAACCUUAUGUGCCAGCUGGAGGGUACACGGGUGUCUGCAUUUUGAUGCAAAUGAGUCCUUUUUUUUCUCUAUAAUUGGAUUUCUUUGUCUAAUGGGGCUUUAGACAGCUUUUAAAAACCCUAUGUAAAACUUACCUGAUUCAUGCCAUUCUGGAUUUGAGUUGAGCAGCUUUGUAUUAUAUGUCAAUGCCCUUUCUCUGUCUCUCUCGCUCUCUCUCGCUCUGUCUACCCAGGUAUCCAUCUGUGCCCAGGUAGCUCAUGGGAUGGAGCAUAUGUCCAAUCACCGCUUCGUAACUGCCUGAUCAACGGCCCACGCAGUGUCAAAAUCUCAGCUCUCAGCCUCAGCAAGAACAUUUACAACAAUGAGUACUACCACUUGUGGAUCCCCCUGUGCAGGCUCCCGGCCGAGUCUGUGUUUGAGGAUGACUUCUCCACCAAGUCAGAGGUCUGGGCCUUCGUGGUGCUUGUGUGGGAGGUGUUUAACCACGAGGAACUGCCAUACACCAAACUCAGUGAUGAUGAGGUGCUGGAAGGUCUGCAAGCAGGCAAGAUUAAGCUGCCCAUGGCCGACGGCUGCCCCUCAAGUCUACAAGCGCAUGUGCCACUGCUGGGCCCCCAGUCUCAAAGAGCGCUCCUCCUUCAGUGAGUUCGUCAACACCCUGGGGGAGCUGUCCUCGGACAGUGAAGCUUGAGAGGAGGACAACUGACCCCACCCCACCUCCAACUCUGCCCCACCUCCAAAAUGAACACAGAAAUGCUGGAUUUUUCACACAGAUUUCAGGGACGAGGUGCGUGGCAAGGGGUUAUUAUUUCUAAGGACGUGUGGAUAAGAAGAAGAUAAAACUUUUUUAUACCCUUGUGUGUGUGUAGAUGGUUUCAUGUGAGGAGGAGUGCCAGGAGUUUACAUUUGCCUUAAUUGCAGCAUGGAAGGCAUGCCCGCUGAUGCUGUCCCUCUUUGCUCAUGUGGUUUCAUUGUGCCCAUGCCUGGCAUGGGUCUCUCAGAGUGAGUCCUAGAGACGCUCUCGCUUUCCUCUAUGAGCCUGCAGCACAGGAACCAUAGGAACUACAGUGCCUCUCCUUGCCUACCAGGACCUCAAUCUACCAACCCUUAAAUCCCCACAACUAAUCCAGGAGGAGAAUUUAAACUACUUUUGUCCAGCAGGGGGCACAUUGUGUAUGUGCUGCACUGGACUCACCACCUGAAUGCUGUAUGUACAGUACCGUGAAAACGUAUUUGCCCCCUUUCUAAUUUUCUCUACUUUUGCAUAUAUAUUUAUUUAUUCAAUUUCUUUUUUACAAAUGUGUAUUUUUACCGCUUUGUCUCCCCAAUUUCGUGAUAUCCAAUUGGUAGUUAGUCUUCUCCCAUCGAUGCAACACUGACUCGGGAGAGGCGAAGGUCGAGAGCCAUGCGUCCUUCGAAACACGACCCUGCCAAGCGACACUGCUUCAUGACACACUGCUCGCUUAACACGGAAGCCAGCUGUACCAAAGUGUCGAUGGAAACACCGUCCAGCUGGCAACCGUGGUCAGCUUGCAGGUGCCCGGCCUGCCACAAGGAGUUGCUAGAGUGCAAUGGGACAAGGAAAUCACGGCGGACCAAACCCUCCCCUAAAUGCAGACAACACUAGGCCAAUUGUGCGCUACCUCAUGGG